GCCUCCUGUGUUUCAAUGUGGGCCCAUUGUCCUGGUUGUGUCACUGGGCACCACUGAGAAGAACCUGACUCCAUCCUCUAUGCACCUUCCCUUCAGGUAUUUAUACACAUUGAUGAGAUCCUCUCUGAGCCUUCUCUGCUCCAGGCUGAAGGGUCCCAGAUCUUGGAGACUUUCCUCAGGAGAGAUGCUCCAGUCCCUUCAUCACCUUGGCGGCCCUUUGUUGGACUGUCUCCGGUAUUUAUACACAUGGAUGGGAUCCUCCUCAGCCUCUCUUGUCCAUGCCCAACUGUCUCAGCCUCGAGGAGUCAACAAGAAAAUUUUCUUUCCUGGACUUGAUACUUACAAACAAGGAAGAAUUGGUCAGGGAUAUGAAAGUUGGAACAGCCUUGGCUGACUGGCCGUAUGACCACUGGGGUCACAUAAUCAAAGAGAAUACAGGAGGAGGAGUAUCCAAAGAGGAGGAAACAGGGCAAAAAUCAGGGCCACAAGUCUGCAUUUCAGGAACUCAGACUCCAACUUCUUCAGAGAGCUUCUUGGAAUAAUCCCAUAGGAUAUGACCCUGCAAAGAAGAAGGGUCCAGGAGAGCUGGUUGAUAUUCAAAUAUCACUUCCUUCAAGCUCAAGAAAGCUCCAUCCCAGCAAGUAAGAGAUCAAACAAAGGCAGCAGGAGACCUGCAUGGAUGAGCAAGGAGUUCCUACAUUAAUUCAGACAUAAAAAGGAAGUGCACAAGAUGAGGAAGAUGAUAAGUGACCCAAAGAGUAGUCAGAAUGUAUCUUUAAUAAGGGUAUAUUUGUCAGAAAAAUAGCAGAAGGUUCUUCAUCUCGGUGCUGGAGCUCAUUUUAUUUUAUUUUAUUAGGAUAUCUCAUUUGAUUAGCCCCUUCUAUCUGGAAAGUUGAGGAAAAGAAUACUUAAGGGCUAAUUUUACUCACCACAUAAUAAGUGGAAAGAGAAGAAAGAGGGAAAGAACAUUUAAGGGUUUUAUUCUAGGUAUAGGAGACAAGCCUUCUGUACUUCUGGAACUUUAUUCACAUGACAGCCAUAUUCUCUUGGAGGUGAAAACCUUGCGGGCAUCAACCACCGUGCAAGUUCUGCAGUGUGGCCGUAGCAGAAAUAAAAAGAAACACAGACCAGGUGUGUAUCUCAGAAAAAAGAACGACUGACUGAGGAUCAGGACCAUGGCAUGUUACAGCCUUAAGCCUGUAAUUACACUAAUAAGAAUUAAAUGAGCUUAUUUCUGUGACACUUGGAAUCCUCUGCAGUGGGAGCUUGCAGGAGUGCUGGAUUAUGUGCUGACAAUACUGUUAUAAGGCUGUUUGCACUGACAAAUAUAACAAGAAGCAACAUGGUGGGGACUGAAAAUGGAAGCCUCUGUAAAAUCUGUAGACAAUAUUAAGUCUCAGAAAGAAGAGAAGCCACCAGACAAGGAGAAACAGGUGAAAAAGAACUGGCAAGAACCUUUGGAAACUUAGAAACCAACAGAUGGGAGAAACCAUAUUGCCUAAGAUGCUGGCUGAUACUUUGAGAGAGUUUGACCGGAACUAAGAAAUAUAGCCAAAACCAGGUAUCUGAUAUAUGUAGAACAUACUGUACAUAGUAGAUUUUGACAUAAUAUGAAAUUUUGAACCAAUGAAUAAGGAGAAAGCAAACUGUGUUAGCAAGUACAUAAUAAUGGCACUAAGCAGACCCAAGAGCAAGGAGGAGGAAACCAUUGACACCAAUAUCCUAUUUUCAGUAAAGAGAAGUAAAAAGCUGCCCUUAUCACACCAUGAAUGAUUUGCAAUGACACCCUCCCCUCCUAAGCAGAAGCCAUCAACCUUAGGACAUGAUCUCUCUGUCACCAGUGUGACAGUGGAAGGGUGAGCUUACCAUAGAAAGGGACAAUUACUAUAAAGUUUGAAUAUUUUGAUUUUCACUAUAUCAUUACAGAGAUGAGCUGUAAUGUUUGGAUUAUUUGGAGUAUAAUUGAUUUUAUUGUUGUGUCUAGAUUAAUAAUAAUUCUUUGAUUAUACUAUCAAGACUUUAAUUAGACUAGCAGUAAAUUCCCCGUUCUUCACCCACAUAAACUUCACAGGUUGUAUUGCACCAAAUUGGCAGGGGUGACCUAAGCUGUAAUUUAAAUGUAACAAAUUAGUAAUAAGUUUAUAGAAAACCUAGUUUGUGGGCAACCUAGGUUCUUAAGCCUUGGUGCAACUACAAACUCUUUUGAUUUGAUUUCCACAGACUCUAAUGGGAGUUGGGGCAGCAAUCUCAUCUAUAGGCAUCUAGCUAUGCCCUGUGCACCUACAGAAAGAAACCAAAUGUGUGUUUUGACAUUCUCAUUGUAUAACUGAAAAGAUCCCGGGUACCAGCACUAAAUUCAUGGAUGCUAAACGCAACAGUCAGCAUCACAGAAUCACAGCUUAGUCACAGAAUCAUAGUAUGAGACAUGCAGAAGUCAACCAGUUUAGAACUCUCUGCUCAAAGCAGGCCCAGUAAGGUUAGGUUACUCAGGCCUUGCCCAGUCAAAUUUUGAAUAUCUCCAAGGAUGGAAAGUCUGUUUCAACUGGAGUCCACAUUAACUCUGUUCUCUUGGUUGCCCGUUAGAAGGACUUCUCUGCUAACUUUAGACAAGGGUUAAUGAAACACUGAGGAACUCAAUGUAUAAUCACUGUUGCGUGUGUCAUCAUAUGUGAAUCGGUGUCAGGGAGAGGAUGCUGGUCUAAAUGUUUGUGGGUUAUUUUGUCUGACUCAGUCUAGUUAUAAUGCUUUUAUACAACCUCAAUUUUCUUCCUCCUUCAGCAGUUUUUGGAGAUACAGUCAUAACUCAGACGGAGGAAAGCUCCUCUCAUAUAAACUAUUCAUAUAUUUUUUAGCAGAAGAAGCCAAUGGAUGCAAAAAAAAUUGGAAUCAUACCAAGGCAUGCAUAUUUAUAGCACCAGAUGUUUGAAUGAACUGGAGGACCCUUAACUCCAUCUGAACCAGAUGCUGAUAUGUGGUGGGUUGACCUUGGCUGGAUGCCAGGUGCCCACCCAGCCACUCUAUCACUCACCUUCCCAGCUGGACAGGGGAGAGAGUAAGAUGGAAAACAACCCAUGGUUGGGAUAAGGCAGUUUAUUUAAAACAAAACCAAAGCAAAAGCUUCUGCGUGCAAAAGCAAAGUGAAAGAUAACACGGUUUAUUCUCUACUUCCCAUGAGCAGUGAUGGUCACCCACUCGUGAGAAGCAAGGCUUCAGCACACAUGGUGGUUCCUUAGCAGGCAGCCAUUGGAGACAAUGAAUGCCUGUCUUCCUGCUCCUUGCCUUAGCUUUUAUAUCUGGUCAGUUUGGGUCAGCUGGUCUACCUGGGCCCCCCCUAGGAUCUUACCCUCGAUUAAGGAAGGAAUGUUACAGUGCUAAUGCUCAGCAGUAGCCAAAACACUGGUGUGUUAUCAACAGCCUUCUAGCUACCAAUGCAAAGCACAGCACUGUGAGGGCUUCUGGGGGGAAAUGAACACCAUCUCAGCCAGACACAGUACACCAUAAGAACAAAGCAAAGAGGGGAAAAAAAGACAGCUUUUCAGGCUUUUUUUUUUUUUUUUUUUUUUUUCCAAAAAAAAAAAAAAAAAAAAGGUACUGCUUAAAGAGGAGAUAUUUGCAUUGUGGGAGUUUAGGAAUCUGUCACAGAAUUAUCUUCUACUAAUUCUGAGAAGGCUGCUUAUCACAAGGGUACAAAGUUCAGAUUUAACAAAGGACAAAGCAGUAUGGAUUUCUGCUGUAACUUGUUACUUUGCUGUUUCUAAACAUUAUACCUGACUUAUAUUACUGAGAAAUGUAGUGAUUCAUACAUUAGAAUAAUAGCAAAGGAGUCAGAGAGAAUAAUAGUGAGGCAGUCAGUAUUCAGGAAUUCAGUGCUGGUAUCCCCUAUUUUUGAAAUUGAAGAGGCUAAUACCAUAAUCUCUUAUACUACUUCUCUCCAAAUCUGGCUGCCAAAUUAAUAUUUCCAAUAGAUCAAGUUGCUAAUUCAUUUCACUAUUAGUACUGUUGCCACUAAAGGUGAGUAAUUAUAUUGAGUACCCUUUAGAAUUGGUUUACGUGAUCACCCUCUCACAACCAGGCUAUAAGAGCUCUUAAAUCUGAAAGACUUAGAUUAAAUACCUAUAUCAAGAAAAAAAAACCACUUCCAAUGCAAAAAACAAGUCACUAAGGCAAAGAUGACAAUGAGUCAGUCUAUCGAUGGUCCCAAUACUAAGUGACUGGCUUAUUUUCCCACAGCAUGAGUAGGAAAAAAACAAACCACUCUGUGGUGACUAGGCUUCUUGCAUUCUUCAUGUCUUCAGUACCAAAGUCUGGCAAUAUUGAGGACACAAGCACAGUCCCAACAGACACUGUUAACUAGAAUAUGUCUUAAAUAUGUGUACUAUGCGCAUCACAGCUGGAAUAUUCAUAGACAAGUGCUCCAAUAUGGUUCUUCAGCAAAAUAAACAACUAUAUGUUGACUUUG